UUUUAAUUUCAUUGUCUGAUGUAAAUGCAUCUGUGCAUUGAGUUGAGUUGAGCAUAUUAAGUUGCAAGAGAAAAGAAAACCAGGGGCAAACUUAGGAUGACCUUGGUCGUUGUGAAGAAAGAUUUAUUACUGCCCUUAAUGGAGGAAAAUGAUCCUUGUAGCUGACCUUAUCUAGUUAAGAAUUAAGAUUUAGCUGAGUUGAAUUAUACUUCUUGUUCUUAUUUCCAAGGUGAUUUAACGUUUUCUGCAGUUCAAAUAUUGUCAAAACCCAUAUUGAGCUCUUUAUUGACGAGAUAAAGGUG
rnacentral:misc_RNA from 1 species